UACGUAGGUGGCAAGCGUUGUCCGGAUUUACUGGGCGUAAAGAGCGCGCAGGCGGUCGUUUAAGUCGAAUGUGAAAGCCCCCGGCUCAACUGGGGAGGGUCAUUCGAUACUGAUCGACUUGAAGGCAGGAGAGGGAAGUGGAAUUCCGGGUGUAGUGGUGAAAUGCGUAGAUAUCCGGAGGAACACCAGUGGCGAAGGCGACUGCCUGGCCUGUUCUUGACGCUGAGGCGCGAAAGCUGGGGGAGCAAACGGG
rnacentral:rRNA from 1 species